rnacentral:rRNA from 1 species
UGGGGAAUAUUGGACAAUGGGGGCAACCCUGAUCCAGCAAUGCCGCGUGUGUGAAGAAGGCCUUCGGGUUGUAAAGCACUUUCGGUGGGGACAAACAAGGCGGAGCUAACAUCUCCGUCCCUGAUGGUACCCAAAGAAGAAGCACCGGCUAACUCUGUGCCAGCAGCCGCGGUAAUACAGAGGGUGCAAGCGUUAAUCGGAAUUACUGGGCGUAAAGGGUGCGUAGGUGGUUUGUUAAGUCAGGCGUGAAAUCCUCGGGCUCAACCUGGGAACUGCGCUUGAUACUGGCAGACUCGAGUGUGGUAGAGGAUAGUGGAAUUCCCGGUGUAGCGGUGAAAUGCGUAGAUAUCGGGAGGAACAUCAGUGGCGAAGGCGGCUAUCUGGACUAACACUGACACUGAGGCACGAAAGCGUGGGUAGCAAACAGG